UGCGGCCGCGUAUUAAUCAAGUGAACGGUCCAGGAUUAUUGCUAUCGCUGACAGCGGACGGGUGAGUAAUACUUAGGGAUCUGCCUCUGUGUGGGGGAUAACUAUUGGAAACGAUAGCUAAUACCGCAUAAUGUCUACGGACCAAAGCGGGCUUCGGCUCGUGCGCAGAGAGGAACCUAAGCGAGAUUAGCUAGUUGGUGAGGUAAAGGCUCACCAAUGCGACGAUCUCUAGCUGUUCUGAGAGGAAGAUCAGCCACACUGGAACUGAGACACGGUCCAGACUCCUACGGGAGGCAGCAGUGGGGAAUAUUGCACAAAUGGGGGGAAACCCUGAUGCAGACAUGCCGCGUGUUUGAAGAAAGCCUUCGGGGUUGUAAAGCACUUUCAGUUUGUCAAGAAAGUUAAUAAGUUAAUACUGCUAGAUGUUGCGUUAGCAACAAAGAAG
rnacentral:rRNA from 1 species